AGAAGUGGCAGAGGAGUGUGAGGCCACUGCCGGCUGUGACGUCGUUCUAUACUGUAUAAAAAACCCCAACCACAGGAGAUGACCCCUACUAGAUCCUGCCCCUCCUUGUCACCAUCUCCACCUGAGUCAUCCUCGAGAGCCCAGUGCCCCUUGCUCAGAGUGACAAGCAUUCUGCUUCCCAGCAGCUCUUCAGGGACGCAUCACCCAGCAGCUGCUCACCGACAGAGUUCAGAUUUCCUGGGUGAACUCAGGGAGAACUGGAGAGCUUUGACCUGCACGAGGAGGGUGACAAUCUGUUGGGUGAAGAGGAGCUGCCCUGAAGAGAAGACCCCGUCUGCCUCAGCCCUGCACCGUGGGACUGUUCUUCCCUUUUCUCUGGAUCUCUGGGGCUGCUCAGAGCUGCCCUUGGCAGAGGGAAUGUUCUCAGGCCC